CCAGACUCCUACGGGAGGCAGCAGUGAGGAAUAUUGGUCAAUGGCCGCAGGGCUGAACCAGCCAAGUCGCGUGAGGGAUGACGGUCCUAUGGAUUGUAAACCUCUUUUGUCAGGGAGCAAAGGGCGCCACGUGUGGCGUUUUGCGAGUACCUGAAGAAAAAGCAUCGGCUAACUCCGUGCCAGCAGCCGCGGUAAUACGGAGGAUGCGAGCGUUAUCCGGAUUUAUUGGGUUUAAAGGGUGCGUAGGCGGAAUAUCAAGUCAGCGGUAAAAAUUCGGGGCUCAACCCCGUCGUGCUGUUGAAACUGAUGUUCUUGAGUGGGCGAGAAGUAUGCGGAAUGCGUGGUGUAGCGGUGAAAUGCAUAGAUAUCACGCAGAACUCCGAUUGCGAAGGCAGCAUACCGGCGCCCAACUGACGCUGAAGCACGAAAGCGUGGGUAUCGAACAGGAUUAGAUACCCCAGUACA
rnacentral:rRNA from 1 species